GUUGCUCUCCUGGCUGGCCGACAAGAGAAUUCCUCAAAGGGACUUCAGCUGCCUUCAUCACAAAGGGCAUAUGUGAUGUAAAGGGAGGAGGCAGGCCCUAGCUCUUGGACACGCCCUGAAGGACAACCUCCUCCACCGAAACCCUACCCCAGUGGGAGGAAUAAUAAAUUCCAGCGCUCCCCCUCAGGACAGAUUAACACCUGGCCAGACAUUAUUCUGACAGGAGCCUGUGUCUAGAAAAAGGAUUCUGCCACAGCUUUAACACCAUGAUCCCCAAAACAAGAUCAGGAGGUGACCUUUCUCCCUUGCCUACAGAAGAUUACAACACUAAAAACAGUCCAGCCUGUUUAGUAAAAACUGCACUUGGAACACACCAUUUCCUCUGGCAGAGCAUCUGAAUGCUUGUUAAGAGAGACUGAAGAGGGGGAGGGAGAAGUGCACAUCAGCUGAGCAUUUCAGGAGGCAGAAAUCAUGCCUGUUGUCUGCAUCUGACCUCUUCUCUGCUCCUGAGAGACACAGGGCCUAGCAGGGAAAAAGCCAAGGACCACUGCCAAGAACAGAUUCAAAUAGCACCACUCCAAGCUAUGCUGUGUCCACAGUCUGUGAGGGAAGCAGG